rnacentral:rRNA from 1 species
UGGGGGAUAUUGCACAAUGGGCGAAAGCCUGAUGCAGCGACGCCGCGUGGGGGAUGAAGGCUUUCGGGUUGUAAACCUCUUUCGCUAUCGAACAAGGCCCGCUUAGGGUGGGUUGAGGGUAGGUGGAGAAGAAGCGCCGGCUAACUACGUGCCAGCAGCCGCGGUAAUACGUAGGGCGCGAGCGUUGUCCGGAAUUAUUGGGCGUAAAGGGCUUGUAGGCGGCUUGUUGCGCCUGCUGUGAAAACGCGGGGCUUAACUUCGCGCGUGCAGUGGGUAAGGGCAGGCUUGAGGGUGGUAGGGGUGACUGGAAUUCCAGGUGGAGCGGUGGAAUGCGCAGAUAUCUGGAGGAACACCGAUGGCGAAGGCAGGUCACUGGGCCAUUACUGACGCUGAGGAGCGAAAGCAUGGGUAGCGAACAGG